UGGGGGAUAUUGCACAAUGGGCGAAAGCCUGAUGCAGCGACGCCGCGUGGGGGAUGAAGGCCUUCGGGUUGUAAACUUCUUUUGCUCUGAACAAGGCAUGCUAAUGGGUGUGUUGAGUGUAGGGGUUGAUUAGCGCCGGCUAACUACGUGCCAGCAGCCGCGGUAAUACGUAGGGCGCGGGCGUUGUCCGGAAUUAUUGGGCGUAAAGGGCUUGUAGGUGGCUGGUUGCGUCUGUCGUGAAAGCUCAUGGCUUAACUGUGGGUUUGCGGUGGGUACGGGCUGGCUUGAGUGCAGUAGGGGAGGCUGGAAUUCCUGGUGUAGCGGUGGAAUGCGCAGAUAUCAGGAGGAAUACCGGUGGCGAAGGCGGGUCUCUGGGCUGUUACUGACACUGAGGAGCGAAAGCAUGGGGAGCGAACAGG
rnacentral:rRNA from 1 species